GGCUUUUUAGACAAAGAAACGCACAUGAGUUCCUCUAACUAGCCCGCUGACGGGAAACUUAGAUAGAGCUUUACGUUCCGGAUUGGGACGUAGUUGGAGGCGUGGUGCUGGGAAACUUGUCUUUGAAACCAAGCUUCUUGUGGACCCGAUCUAUGUGAUACAGACACAAAGAGCAGCUCUCCGCUCCAGAGUAUUGGGGAUGACUUUCCAUUUCCUAAAACACACUACACUGAAAAACAUCAGGUAAAUUUCGGUAAAUAGACAUCCUACAAAAUACCCGACCAGCACUCCUCAAAAGUGUUGAACUGUCAAAGUCAUCAAAAACAAAGUCUGAGAAACUGUCACUGCCAAGAGGAACCUAAGGAGCCGUGACAACUAAAUGUGUACAUUGGUCGUGGACUGAGUAUAAGCCAGCAUUGUGCCAGAGGAGAAGGAGAAGGAGAAAGAAGAGGAGGAAGAAAGGAGCCUGGGCAUGGUGGCUCACACCUGUAAUCCCCAGCUACUUGGGAGGCUCAGCACUUUGGGAGGCCAUGGCAGGCGGAUCACCUGAGGUAGGGACCAGCCUGGGAAACAUAGUAAAACCCCAUCUUUAAUAAAAAUACAAAAAUUAGCUGGGUAUGGUGGUGCACACCUUUAAUCCCAGCUACUUGGGAGGCUGAGGCAGGAGAAUCGCUUGAACACAUGAGAUUGCAGGGAGCUGAGAUUGUACCACUGCACUCCAGUCUGGGUGACAGAGCGUGACUUUGUCUCAAAAAAGAAAAAAAAGGAUGGAGCUGGUUAGGUGUGGGAGAGAGGGUGUGCAAGAUGCCAGCAAGCCAGAAGACAUAGGCAGACCCAUUAAAAACCUGGUGUGGUGAGCAAUUCAGGUAGCUUGGAAUAGGGUGAUGUCAAUGGUCGUGGAAAGAAGUAAAUGGAAAAAAGAGAUUUUUAGAGAAUAAAAUCAACAGUCUUUGGUGAUUGCUUCUAUAU
rnacentral:lncRNA from 13 species